UACGUAGGGUGCGAGCGUUAAUCGGAAUUACUGGGCGUAAAGCGUGCGCAGGCGGUUCUCCAAGUCCGUUGUGAAAGCCCCGGGCUCAACCUGGGAAUGGCAGUGGAAACUAGGGGACUGGAAUCUGGCAGAGGGGGGUGGAAUGCCGCGUGUAGCAGUGAAAUGCGUAGAGAUGCGGCGGAACACCGAUGGCGAAGGCAGCCCCCUGGGCUGAGGUUGACGCUCAGGCACGAAAGCGUGGGGAGCAAACAGG
rnacentral:rRNA from 1 species